rnacentral:lncRNA from 1 species
CCUUGAACAAAUUUAAUAAUGCAUACAUACACAUUUUCUGUCUUGAAUUUGUAGUGUCAACAAGAUAACCGUACCCUGGUUCAUCGUCUGAACCACGCCGUGGGAUCCGCUCAUCCAUGCUAUCAUCAAGCACAAGCAAAUAAACCUUGAAGCUAGACAAACAACUAUAAUCUCUGUUCGCAAAAAACAAAGUUGAAGCUGCAUAAAUAUCAACUACCUUAGAAAAGCAAUUUCGUUGAUUUAAAACAAUUGUUCGGAAUAACAGUGGAAAGACAAUUAUCCAAUCAGUUCAUGAACCAAGCACAUAGGCAAAAAAUUACUCACAUUCACACAUCGGCAACUCAACAGUCCACCUAUUGACCAUAAUUAGAGUAAGGUUACCCUUCCUUGCUAUUGGAACAGUAAUGGAUCAGAAAAUUUUAGCUUUUCAUAUAUAUAAAGAUUACCUACAAUCAUCUUCCACGAAGCUAAAUCCAUCAUCCCAGAUUCAUUCACGGUUGCUAGCUUCAUGCAAAGAAAAAAUCACAAGCGCACACAUCAAACCGCACGCUCACCAAACCGGUGAAUGAAUGGCAACAAGAGGCAUCAACUGGGGAGAGAGAAGCUCGCCUGAGAGAAUACACAAAUGAUCGGGCAACUGCUGCAGGUCGACGAACACCAUCAUCGCGGCUGAUAGGGGGCAUGAAGAGGAG